rnacentral:rRNA from 1 species
AUGGCAUUUGUGGAGGGUGAGAACUUUCUCAGCUGGGUAUGGUUCUUCCGCCAAGUGAAAAUUGCCAUCAUGAAGGACCGACCAAACGUGUGUGUCAUUCAUGACAGACAUGCUAGUAUAUUGAAGGCCGUGAAGACACUUCGUAAUCCAACAGAUGACGAACCAACACCUUGGAGGGACUUGCAGAGCCGGUGGUGCAUGCGCCAUCUUGGGGCUAAUUUUUUCUCACAGUUCAAGAACAAGCGGUUGAUGAACUUGUUCAAAAAAUUAUGCAAGCAGAGCCAGCAGCGGAAAUACGAAUUUAUUUGGUCAAAACUAGAUGAGUUUACUAAGAAGCAGGUCCGUGCGAGGAAGAAAAUGGAAGAAGAUCAGGUUAAAUUAGCAGCACUCAUCGCGGAGCUAGAGGAGCCAGUAGGUCUUUGUGACUUGCCAGCAAUUGACCCUCCUAAUACUAAGAGAAAGAAGGGAAGGGCAAUAAAGAAUUUUUCUGAGUGGAUAGAGAAAGAGCCUCCAAUGAAUUGGUCUUUGCUGCAUGACACACAUGGAGCUAGGUACGGCCACAUGACAACCAAUCUUGCAGAGGUGUAUAACUUUGUGCUGAGAGGGAAUAGAGCAUUGCCACUCACAGCUAUUGUGAGGCCGUAUUCCAUGGCACUUUGA